GAACGCUGUGUAGGUGCUAAGUAAGGAGCAGCUCAAGGAUCUGAUUCCAGCUCCCAAGAGAGAUGAAGCUAAGACAACUGGAUACUCACGCACAGAGUUCUCUGAGGUUGAGCCACCCUUCUCUGCUCCCUUUCGCUACAAUUAGUUUGGCUUUCAGAAACUGGCAGUCAGGCAAGAUAGAUUCCACUGCAGGUGCCAGGGUAUCGUUGGUAAUGAUGCACUUGGCCUUUGAAGCCUGGAGUCGGUAUAAAAUAUCUUUGGCUGUUAACUGGGAUGUUCCUGGAAUGAAGACAAUUCCUGGAAAAAAAGCAACAAAGAAUUUGGAAAAUGGUCCAAUUGUCU